CCUACGGGGGACAGCAGUGAGGAAUAUUGGUCAAUGGACGCGACUCUGAACCAGCCAAGUAGCGUGCAGGAUGACUGCCCUAUGGGUUGUAAACUGCUUUUAUGUGGGCAUAAACUGUUCCACGUGUGUGCUUUUGUAUGUACCCUAUGAAUAAGGCUCGGCUAACUCCGUGCCAGCAGCCGCGGUAAUACGGAGGAUCCGCGCGUUAUCCGGAUUUAUUGGUUUUAAAGGGAGCGUAGGUGGAUCGUUAAGUGAGUUGUGAAAGUUUGCGGCGCAACCGUGAAAUUGAAGUUGAAACUGGGAGGCUGGAGUACAGCAGAGGUGGGUGGAACUCGAUGUGUAGCGGUAAAAUGCGUAGAUAUAAGGAAGAACACCAGUGGCGAAGGCGGCCGACCGGAGUGUUGCUGACGCUGAGGCACGAAAGUGCGGGUAGCAAACAGGAUUAGAUACCCGGGUAGUC
rnacentral:rRNA from 1 species